GCCAGGUGCAGUGGUGCGUGCCUGUAGUCCCAGCUACUCAGGAGGCUGAGAUGGGAGGAUCGCUUGAGCCCAGGAGUUCUGGGCUGUAGUGCGCUAUGCCGAUCGGGUGUCCGCACUAAGUUCAGCAUCAGUAUGGUGACCUCCCGGGAAUGGGGGACCACCAGGUUGCCUAAGGAGGGGUGAACCAGCCCAGGUCUGAAACGGAGCAGGUCAAAACUCCCGUGCUGAUCAGUAGUGGGAUUGCACCUGUGAAUAGCCACUGCACUCCAGCCUGGGCAACAUAAUGAGACCCCGUUUCU
rnacentral:SRP_RNA from 1 species